rnacentral:rRNA from 1 species
UACGGAGGGUGCAAGCGUUGUCCGGAAUCACUGGGCGUAAAGGGCGCGUAGGCGGCUCAUUAAGUCUGUGGUGAAAGUCCGGGGCUCAACCUCGGAUCGGCCGUGGCGACUCGUGGGCUGGAGCACUGUAGAGACGGGUGGAAUUCCGGGUGUAGCGGUGGAAUGCGUAGAGAUCCGGAAGAACACCAGUGGCGAAGGCGGCCCGCUGGGCAGUGGCUGACGCUGAGGCGCGACAGCGUGGGGAGCAAACAGG